AACGAACGCUGGCGGCAGGCCUAACACAUGCAAGUCGAGCGAAGCCUUCGGGCUUAGCGGCGGACGGGUGAGUAACGCGUGGGAACGUGCCCUUUGGUACGGAAUAGCCCCGGGAAACUGGGAGUAAUACCGGAUGUGGUCGAGAGACGAAAGAUUUAUCGCCAAGGGAUCGGCCCGCGUUGGAUUAGGUAGUUGGUGGGGUAAUGGCCUACCAAGCCGACGAUCCAUAGCUGGUUUGAGAGGAUGAUCAGCCACACUGGGACUGAGACACGGCCCAGACUCCUACGGGAGGCAGCAGUGGGGAAUCUUAGACAAUGGGGGAAACCCUGAUCUAGCCAUGCCGCGUGAUCGAUGAAGGCCUUAGGGUUGUAAAGAUCUUUCAGUGGGGAAGAUAAUGACUGUACCCACAGAAGAAGCCCCGGCUAACUCCGUGCCAGCAGCCGCGGUAAAAC
rnacentral:rRNA from 1 species